AACUGAUUCGGGUCAUUUCUUUGAUAUAAUGACUACUAUGGAUGCUCGAUAUGUAAGUGAACCCAUGAGAGCUGAUCAGUUUCAUCAGUCAACUGGGGAGGAUUUAAUGAAAUGUUUUAAUAAAUACGAUAUGACGCAUAAAAGGCGAGGUGUCGCUUACAUCUUCAACAAUGAAAAUUUCAAACGAUCGGAACUUGCAACUCGUUAUGGCUCAUCAAAAGAUACAGAAGAUUUUAAAAAGGCAUUAAUUAAACUUGGAUUCCGUGAAGAUGAUAUCAAAGUUUAUAUGGAUGCAACAGUCGAAGAAAUGCGCGACGCUUUGAAGCAGUUUGGAAAAAAUUCUCAUACUGAUAUUGAUUGCUUUAUUUGUGCAAUAUUGAGUCAUGGUGGCCCGGACGACGUUAUCUGUGGAUACGACGAUGUUGUUAAACUAGACGAAUUGUUUUCUUACCUGAGACCCAAGUGUUGUCCAUCUUUAACAGGAGUACCUAAAUUAUUCUUUGUUGAAGCAUCUCGUGGAAGUAAGAUUGAUGUGGGGGUCGAAAAAACUGAUGCUGAUUUAAUAGGGUAUGGAAAAAGGACACCCAAAAUUCCGGUUAUGGCAGAUAUGUUGGUUGUUUAUUCAUCGAGUAAUGAAUAUUCUUCUUUCAUAAAUGAAGAUGGUUCGUGGUUUAUGCAAGCUCUAAGUAAAAUGUUGAUGGAAUAUGGCAAUGAAUAUGAAAUCAUGAAACUUUUAACUGCUGUCUCUAACCGUGUUGCCUCUUUAGACUUCCGAAGUUCGGCUAAUUCGGAAUACAAUGGAUGUAAACAAAUGCCUCACAUUAUGUCGACAUUGAUUAAAGAACUAAAGUUUCAGUCCAAGAACUAAAUGUACCGUUUACUUUAAUAUCAACACUAAAGUUUUACGUAAAUAUAUGUAUACAAAUACAAAAUGUAUGUGCUUUUACAUAUAAUUACUUGACCUAAAAUGUAACAUUUUAAAUCAAUUAUUUUCUAUAAUUGUUAAUAUGAUUCCAAUCUUAAUUUGGUUUCUUUUUAAAAUGUUUAACUGAACCUAUUCCCUACCAUU